AAUAAAGUUGUUGUAAUUUGUUAGACUUCGGUGGUACAUAGUCUAGCAGCUAUUCACAUCAACUUAAUCGCCUUUGCUUAGAGAGCAACUGGGCUUCGUUCUUCGAAAAUCUGGACUCACUCACAAGAGAGUAGAGUUAUCGUGAGCAUAAAUCGAAGUUGCUUACUCACCGGCACCACAUGGUUCUUGGCUCCCCAGCAGAUGGGCUUAAAGCUGCCUUUGCGUGUUGCCUCUUGAAAUUCGCCAAAUUGAUUUUCCCAAUCGUAGGAUAUCAGACGUGCCUCCAGAGUCAUGCCAGCCAAUUCGGGCGGUGAUGAAAUCAGCACGGGAUUUGAGUCGCUGCAAAGAGCAAGAACAAAAAGAAGAAGACAGAAGUGAAAAGAGAGUCAAAAUAACAUUAUUAACUUUAUUAUUAUUGUCAACUUUGAUUAGGACUUAAAAUUUAUUACAGCCCCAAAAGGCGCUUUGCCAGCAGA